rnacentral:rRNA from 1 species
AGAGUUUGAUCCUGGCUCAGAACGAACGCUGGCGGCAGGCUUAACACAUGCAAGUCGAGCGCGUAGCAAUACGAGCGGCAGACGGGUGAGUAACGCGUGGGAAUCUACCCAUCUCUACGGAACAACUCCGGGAAACUGGAGCUAAUACCGUAUACGUCCUUUUGGAGAAAGAUUUAUCGGAGAUGGAUGAGCCCGCGUUG